ACGGAGGAUCCAAGCGUUAUCCGGAUUUACUGGGUUUAAAGGGUGCGUAGGCGGAUUGAUAAGUCAGUGGUGAAAGCCUACAGCUUAACUGAAGAACUGCCAUUGAUACUGCGAGUCUGGAGUAUGGUUGAGGUAGCUGGAAUGUGUCAUGUAGCGGGGAAAUGCUUAUACAUGACACGGAAGGACUAGAGCGAAGGCUGAUUACCAUGGUAGUGCUGACGCUGGUGCUCGAGAGAGUCGGGAUCAGACAG
rnacentral:rRNA from 1 species